CGUGAAUGAAACAGACAAAGCCCCUGUCCUCCCAGAGCUCACCUGCCAGCAAGAGCCAGGGACAGGCAGCAAGUCAAUCCGUGGUGUAUCACAAGAGGAUGUAUGAUUGAGAACAAUGAAAGGGCAGGGGACAGUGAAAAGGCAGUGUGCGGGACUCUGUUGUAGGUGAGGGAUCUUCCUGGGGAAGGAGGUUCAAAAGUG
rnacentral:lncRNA from 10 species